CGGGUGAGUAACACGUGGACAAUCUGCCCCCCGGUCCGGGAUAGCCCAGGGAAACCUGGAUUAAUACCGGAUGAGACGGGACCCGCGGAGGCGGGAUCCGGGAAAGGCGCUACGGCGCCGCCGGGGGAUGAGUCUGCGUCCCAUUAGCUAGACGGCGGGGUAACGGCCCACCGUGGCGACGAUGGGUAGCCGGCCUGAGAGGGUGGACGGCCACAUUGGAACUGAGACACGGCCCAGACUCCUACGGGAGGCAGCAGCAAGGAAUCUUGGGCAAUGGGCGAAAGCCUGACCCAGCGACGCCGCGUGAGGGAUGACGGCCUUCGGGUUGUAAACCUCUUUUCUCAGGGAAGAAUAAUGACGGUACCUGAGGAAUAAGUCUCGGCUAACUACGUGCCAGCAGCCGCGGUAAUACGUAGGAGGCGAGCGUUAUCCGGAUUUAUUGGGCGUAAAGUGGGCGUAGGUGGUCUUUCAAGUCGGAUGUGAAAUCUCCCGGCUCAACUGGGAGGGGUCAUCCGAUACUGUUGGACUUGAGUACAGCAGGGGAAAAUGGAAUUCCCGGUGUAGUGGUGAAAUGCGUAGAUAUCGGGAGGAACACCAGAGGCGAAGGCGAUUUUCCAGGCUGAAACUGACACUGAGGCCCGAAAGCGUGGGGAGCGAACAGGAUUAGAUACCCUGGUAGUCCACGCCUUAAACUAUGGGUACUAGGUAUAGGGAG
rnacentral:rRNA from 1 species